UACGUAGGUGGCAAGCGUUGUCCGGAUUUACUGGGCGUAAAGAGCGCGCAGGCGGUCGUUCAAGUCGCGUGUGAAAGCCCCCGGCUCAACUAGGGAGGGUCACGCGAUACUGAUCGACUCGAAGGCAGGAGAGGGUAGUGGAAUUCCCGGUGUAGUGGUGAAAUGCGUAGAUAUCGGGAGGAACACCAGUGGCGAAGGCGACUACCUGGCCUGUUCUUGACGCUGAGGCGCGAAAGCUAGGG
rnacentral:rRNA from 1 species